CUCAAAGGAAUUGACGGGGACCCGCACAAGCAGCGGAGCAUGUGGUUUAAUUCGAAGCAACGCGAAGAACCUUACCAGGGCUUGACAUCCCUCUGACAGUCCCUUAACCGGGACCUUCUUCUGACAGAGGAGACAGGUGGUGCAUGGUUGUCGUCAGCUCGUGUCGUGAGAUGUUGGGUUAAGUCCCGCAACGAGCGCAACCCUUGUCUUUAGUUGCCAUCAUUCAGUUGGGCACUCUAGAGAGACUGCCGAGGAUAACUCGGAGGAAGGUGGGGAUGACGUCAAAUCAUCAUGCCCCUUAUGCCCUGGGCUACACACGUGCUACAAUGGCUGGUACAAAGAGACGCAAGACCGCGAGGUGGAGCAAAUCUCAAAAACCAGUCCCAGUUCGGAUUGCAGGCUGCAACUCGCCUGCAUGAAGUUGGAGUUGCUAGUAAUCGCAGAUCAGAAUGCUGCGGUGAAUGCGUUCCCGGGUCUUGUACACACCGCCCGUCACACCA
rnacentral:rRNA from 1 species